rnacentral:rRNA from 1 species
AUUGAACGCUGGCGGCAGGCCUAACACAUGCAAGUCGAGCGGAGCGGCGGACGGGGGAGUAAUGCCUAGGAGUCUGGCUGGUAGAUGGGGACAACGACCGGGACCGGGCGCUAAUACCGCAUACUUUCCGAUGACCCUAGGUGGGAUUAGCGAGUGGGUGGGGUAAAGGCCUACCUUGGCGACGAUCCGUAACUGGUCUGAGAGGCUGAUCAGUCACACUGGAACUCAGACACGGUCCAGACUCCUACGGGAGGCAGCAGUGGGGAAUAUUGGACAAUGGGCGAAAGCCUGAUCCAGCCAUGCCGCGUGUGUGAAGAAGGUCUUCGGAUUGUAAAGCACUUUAAGUUGGGAGGCGUUACCAACAGAAUAAGCACCGGCUAACUUCGUGCCAGCAGCCGCGGUAAUAC